GAGGACGACCAGCCACACUGGAACUGAGACACGGUCCAGACACCUACGGGUGGCAGCAGUCGAGAAUUUUUCUCAAUGAGCGAAAGCUUGAAGGAGCGACGCCGCGUGGGGGAUGAAGGGCUUCGGCUCGUAAACCCCUGUCAUUUGUGAACAAACCCUCAUAUUUAACAGAUAUGAGGUUGAUAGUAGCGAAAGAGGAAGGGACGGCUAACUCUGUGCCAGCAGCCGCGGUAAUACAGAGGUCCCAAGCGUUGUUCGGAAUCACUGGGCGUAAAGGGUGCGUAGGUGGUCAUUAAAGUUUGGUGUGAAAUCUCCGGGCUUAACUCGGAAAGUGCAUUAAAUACUGAAUGGCUGGAGGGUUGGAGGGGAGACUGGAAUUCUCGGUGUAGCAGUGAAAUGCGUAGAUAUCGAGAGGAACACCAGUGGCGAAGGCGAGUCUCUGGACAACACCUGACACUGAGGCACGAAAGCUAGGGGAGCAAACAGGAUUAGAUACCCUGGUAGUCCUAGCCCUAAACUGUGCAUAUUUGCUGUGAGAGGAUUCGACCCCUUUCGUGGCGAAGCUAACGCGUUAAAUAUGCCGCCUGGGGAGUACGGUCGCAAGAUUAAAACUCAAAGAAAUUGACGGGGGCCUGCACAAGCGGUGGAGUAUGUGGCUUAAUUCGAUCCAACGCGAAGAACCUUACCUGGCCUUGACAUGUAUCUAGUAGGAGGAUGAAAGUCUGACGAGAUAGCAAUAUCAGGAUACACAGGUGCUGCAUGGCUGUCGUCAGCUCGUGUCAAGAGAUGUUGGGUUAAGUCCCGCAACGAGCGCAACCCCUAUGUUCUGUUGCCACCCGAAUGAGAAUUCGGAGCACUCUGGACAGACUGCCUCGCUUUAACGAGGAGGAAGGUGGGGAUGACGUCAAGUCAGGAUGGCCCUUACGGCCAGGGCUGCACACGUACUACAAUGCCAAUUACAAAGGGACGCAAGACCGCAAGGUGGAGCAAAUCUCAAAAAAAUUGGCCCAGUUCAGAUUGUCGGCUGCAAUUCGCCGGCAUGAAGCUGGAAUCGCUAGUAAUGGCGCAUCAGCUACGGCGCCGUGAAUACGUUCCCAGGCCUUGUACACACCGCCCGUCACAUCAUGAAGGCCGUCUGUACCCGAAGUCGCUAUGCCAACCGCAAGGGGGUAGGUGCCGAAGGUAUGAACGGUGAUUGGGAUGAAGUCGAACAAGGUA
rnacentral:rRNA from 1 species